rnacentral:rRNA from 1 species
UACGUAGGGGGCAAGCGUUGUCCGGAUUUAUUGGGCGUAAAGAGCGUGUAGGCGGCCAGAUAGGUCCGUUGUGAAAACUGGAGGCUUAACCUCCAGCUGUCGAUGGAAACCAUCUGGCUAGAGUCCGGAAGAGGAGAGUGGAAUUCCUCGUGUAGCGGUGAAAUGCGCAGAUAUCAGGAAGAACACCCGUGGCGAAGGCGGCUCUCUGGGACGGUACUGACGCUGAGACGCGAAAGCGUGGGGAGCGAACAGG